rnacentral:rRNA from 1 species
ACGAACGCUGGCGGCGUGCCUAAUACCUGCCAGUCGCGCGAAGUUUUUCUGGUGCUUGCACUAGAAAAACUUCGCGGCGAACGGGUGAGUAACACGUAAAGAACCUGCCUCAUAGACUGGGACAACUAUUGGAAACGAUAGCUAAUACCGGAUAACAGUAUUUCUCGCAUGAGAGAUAUUUAAAAGUUGGUUAUGCUAACACUAUGAGAUGGCUUUGCGGUGCAUUAGCUAGUUGGUGGGGUAAAGGCCCACCAAGGCGACGAUGCAUAGCCGACCUGAGAGGGUGAUCGGCCACACUGGGACUGAGACACGGCCCAGACUCCUACGGGAGGCAGCAGUAGGGAAUCUUCCGCAAAGGGCGAAAGCCUGACGGAGCAACGCCGCGUGAGUGAAGAAGGAUUUCGGUUCGUAAAGCUCUGUUGUUAGGGAAGAAUGGAUAUGUAGUAACUAUACAUGUAAGAGACGGUACCUAACCAGAAAGCCACGGCUAACUACGUG